AGCUCCGAUAGCGUAUAUUAAAGUUGUUGCAGUUAAAAAGCUCGUAGUUGAACUUCUGUAAGUUGAGGAAUUGACCAUUCCGGUCAUUAUCCUUCUUACAUCCCAUUAGAUUUAACAUCACGGUCUUUGUUGGUCGGUUGUAAAAUCUAUGAAUUUACUUUGAAAAAAUUAGAGUGUUUCAAGCAGGCGAUUUGCUGGAAUACAUUAGCAUGGAAUAAUAGAACAGGACCUUUCUGUCAUUUUAUUGGUACAAUGACAAUAGGUAAUGAUUAACAGGGACAGUUGGGGGCAUUAGUAUUAUUUCAGAAGAGGUGAAAUUCAUUGAUUGAGAUGAGACUAACUUAUGCGAAAGCAUUUGCCAAGGAUGUUU
rnacentral:rRNA from 1 species